CAAUAAAGCUUCUGGCCAGUGAGCGCUGGGAAUUACAGUGGACAAUGGAGGAGGCAUUCUUAAGAGUGUCUAAUGAUGGGGGGCAAAAGAAAAAUAUUUAUUGCUUUUGACAGUUUCACAAGGGGCAAAAAUCCUUGUCAUGGUUUAAAGUUUCCACAGCUGUUUGGAGGGGAGGGUGGCGCCUACGGACUGGAAACAGUUCGGCGUCUUUGUUUAGCAGGCCAAGCGCAAAAGGGGCCAAGCUGUGAAAUUAAAGAUGUAAGUUCAUUAAGCAGAGAAGCUGAUGUCUUUGCAUAAGAGAACUGCGGCAGCGACUUGUAACCCUACCAGUCAAUUUUUUUAAAAGGGACUAGCUCCAAGAGACCACCUGCAUUGUUUGGGAUUCUACGUGCUGAAGUGCCCCAUGUCAAUAUUUCCGUCGAAUGCCUGCUGAACGCUGAAACGUAUAUGUUACGGACUCUCGGAAAGUGGCUACCGGUGGCCUCCCAUAAGCCAGCAAGCUCCAUAGAAUGUCAACCCUGUCCAAGGAUUCGACAUGAGAUGAAACGUUGCAUUGUAACCAACAGAGAACGAUAUUCAGUGUAUUGCUAAGGUUACAUCAGCACAAGAAUUCUCUUUGUGCAACUGAACACUCUCCUCCCCCAGCACAAUGACCACAUCAGUUCUAGGUUUUCCUCCAACCUUCUGGAGCAGAUUUGGAGACCACGUGGGGUGCACGGGGGCGGGCACAAGAGGGGUGAAUGCACCAUUGCGGUAGUGACAAUCCUUGCACUUGCACAAUUAUUUAGUUGAAUGCUGUCCUGAGUCAUAAUCAGAGCAGAGCCACUGGCAUCAAUGGACUUGAAUUAGUUGUGCGACUCAUUGUAUUUUUAAUUACAGACUCACUCUCUUGUCUGAUUUCAGUUCUGUGCCCUCUUUGCAGCUUUUGCUUUAAGUGGGAAACAGAUCAAUAGAAUCUCCAAUAUUGUGGCUGAUUCACAUUACUAAAAAUGUAGAGAUAUUGUAAGCAGGGUGUUACGGGAGGCCAUGUAAAUCUGUCACUGUACAAUAUGAUGUGCACCAGGUGUACAUAAUACCUCCAUCUUUUGAGUUGGAAGAAUCAUGGGAAUAGAUUACAGAUGUCCGUGAUGCAUAUGUUAUGCCACUGAUGUGAUGUGAUGCAUAUAAAUUUCGACAUUAUUAGCAGGGAAAGCAGAGUUUCAGACAAAGAUUUCCCUUGUUCUUGAUAAGUUCUCCCUCUUCUUGACUAACCCAAUACGCCUUCCUGUCUUCCACAAAGAGCCCCUUCUGUCUCUAAGCCUUCUUUAAGGUUUUCAUAUACCAAUUGUCCUUUUAUUUCCCCUGCAGAAUUUGUUUGUCGGUGUGCUUUCUCUGUCACCUUUCGUUAACACUUCCACAAAAAUCCCAUGCCAUUACAAUGCAUUGGCUUACGACUUGUGGGAGAUGUGGCUCAUAGAUGGCAACAUGUGGCAGGCAAGUGACAACCGGGUUAUUGCUGUUGCAGUUAAAACUAUGCAUCUUGCCUCAUAAAUCAAACUGCAUGCCUUUCUGAGCUCCUCUGGCUUUUCUCUAAGAACGCUAGAAUAUGGGACCGGUGUCACCAUGACAGUAAAUAGAAACUGGAUCAGGUCUUUAAGAGCAGAGAGAGUGCAGCUAUUAGCAUCGGAGACAGAAUUACUGUUAUCAUUCUGCAUUAAUCUGACUCUUUCCUAUGCACUGCCCUCUCAUUGUCUUCAGCCGUUUGGAAAGCGUUCCCUUAGCAAACAAUCAAACCCACCAAGUCCCCUGUCAAUAAAUUUUAUUUGAGAAAUAUAGCAGUUGCAAUAUUGAUGGAUCUCGCUUUCCUCUCCUUGCUUGUCCUGCCUUUCCUCCGCCCAAGAGCUGUAUUUAGGCAAGAGCAGGUGCCCGUUCUCCUCCGGCAAAGGAAACACAGGCGAACGUUGAAGAGCACCCAUAUUUAAAUACUGUAUAGCGUGUCUAUUUGCAUAUCUUAGCACAUUUUCUCUGCAUGGAGUACAUUUCAAAAUAACCAGGGUUGCGGGGUGUUUGGGUCGGUGGCUACUGGAUCUGUUGAUAACUUGAAAUAUGUAAAUACAUCUCCUCUCCCCUCUCCUUCCCUCUCCCCCCCGCCCCCCGCCUUGCUUUCUUCUUUUCUACAACCAGUGCUUUAGAUUGCAUUAGCUGUAAACAAAGAUGUAUUUGCAGGGGCAGUCGGUUUGAGUUUAUUGUUUAUGUAAAUCUCUCUGAAUGUGACAUAGCCAGAUAGCUUCCUAUGUUGUGCUGAUCCACGUUUUAGGCCUGCAGCCAAAAGUAUUUUAUCUUUUUACUUCAUUAUAGUGAUCUUCCAAUUAGCUGUGGUCUGUAAUACCCUGAUUUUGGUGGCAGUGGUUUGGGGAGGAUUGUUUGAUAGUUCUGCUCGAGAGGCAAAAUGAGUCGCCUUAUUAUAGAAAGUGCAGAGGUUGUGCAGUAGCCGAGUUCUGUUGCAAAGUUUGCCGAUAAGGGGAAAACUGGCCCUUGAGCAUCUAUUCUCUUCUGUAUAUUAACACUUCUAAUCUGCGCUGCUGAUAAAACUGGAAGCCAUUUGCCUUUGCAGGAAUUAGUUCUGCCUCACUUGUGUAACCAGGCGAUGGUGAUUAACCUUUAAACUGUCCAAUAUUCUCAGCAGACUCCUGCUCCAGAUUAGAAACUAUUUAGUUACGACCAACUAAAUUAACAACAUUCCCGCCUCUGAAGAAUAAGGUUUGGAAGGUAUGCAUUUUAAGGUGGAAUUGUAUUUGAAAACAGGGGAGAGAUGUGCUUGUUUGCUUCUCACGAGAUGCACACAUUUGGCGGCGAUGGGGCUGCCUAAGAAAAUAGGUUCUACAUUUCGGAGAAAAGAGGCCUAAACAGAAGAAGCCUGUGUCCUGUAGAUGCAAUUAGUUAGUAGCCAUUGAUGAACAUGUAGAUUUGAUCCAAACCUACCUAUACAUGUUUGAUUAUAGGUAGGUGAUACAUUUUGGAGAAUGUGUAUAUUUGGUUAUGUGCAGAUGGGUGAUUUAAACACACAAACACACACACACACACACAGAGCGCAAUUAUUAAGGGAUAUUUCACUCCCAGCCAUACUAGUCACAUAAAAGGAAGUUCCAUCAAUUUGAAUUAAAUUUACUUCUGUGCGAAUCUGCUUAAAAUCAAUGCAGAAGUUUACAAUGGACACCACCAACUCUAAUCAACUGGUGAAUUGAUCAGCUUUAUUUAUUUAUUUUUUAAAAAGGCUGUAAUCCUGCAUCCACUUACGUGGAAGUAAGCUCCAUUGAACUAAGUGGAACAUACUUUUGAGCAGACAUGCAUAGGGUUGAGCUGUUCCAUGAUGAAUCCAAUGGGGAUUUUUUUAAAUCUUGAGGUCCAAGGCUGAAGGUUCAGGAACUAUAUUUUUUAAAAAAAUAAUAAUAAUGACUUUGGUGUAUUAUAGGAACAAGGGGAAAAUUUUAAAUAUGACCAUCUCUUUAAACAAUAAAUGUAGCUUUUGUUUAUUAAAUGUUAGGUGAUUUCUCGGGUUAAUUUAUUUAAGCCUAAUCAAUUGAUCAGUUAAAUGCUUUAAAAACUGGGCAAUUAAUAAUUUUCUGAUCUUGGGCUGGCAGAUAGCACGCAGGCACACGCACAUAGGCUGUGAUCUGAAACACAAUGGUUUGGAACCAAACUCAGUAGAGAUCAAUGAGACUUAAUUCCAAGUAAAAGUAUAUUGAGGAUAGAGUGCCAGCUGUCUCAGAUUUGAGAUGGCUUGGAAGAUCUCUGCCACAUAAUAUGACAAAGAAUGUGUGAUAAGGAGAAGGUGAGCAAUAUCGGAAAGGAGGGGAAGAUAAUUUUCUUUUAGGCAAAAAGGGCUCUCCCAAUUUUCUCUCUCUCGGGGUUAAGCUGAACAGUGGAAUAGAUGUUAUAAAUAUCCACAGCAGCCCCUCAUGCCCAAUAUGCUUCAGCUGCUGGGGUAACUUUGCACUGAGCUAUUGCAUCUAGAUUUUUUUUUUUAAUAUAAUGUAAAACUUAUCAGUUGAAAUGUAACCUCCAACUCACAUGGCAUAAAGACAAAAACGAGGGCAUUUAUGUAAUAAACGGUGUAGUGCUUGUCCGACAUGCAUGGAAUGACCGUAUUGUUCUCCCUUGCUGGAGAACAAAAUCAAAAUCCCCGUUAGCAAUGUUUUUCUGUUUUACCAGUUUUUACAUUGGCUGCCUCCUUAAAAAUUGCUAAUCUAGAUACUACAUUAGUAGGGUGUCAGUCAAACUGCAAUCCACAGUGAAGCCUUCUUCACAUACCAAUUUAAAUCAUUCAUGGUCCUUUCUUUGGCAUUAUUCAAAAGAUCAUAAUAAUUUUCUUGUGCCCACAGCACAAAAAAAAUCAAUUAUUUCCCCACAAAGACUUGAAAGUACUUAGCGAGUGCUGCAAGAAAAGCUGAGGGUUAUAUCAAAUUGAAAUUGCACUCAUUACACACAACACAAUUAGUUGCCACUAGUCUGGCCGGUCCUUUAAUUCUGAAUGGCAUAUCUUUAUUAUUACAGAAACAAGCAUGCAAAUGGCAUUGUUCAGGAUUUGCCGAAAUCAAUAGGAUAUAGUGCUGUGUGUUUGGUGGCCACUGUCACUCAAUCGGCUGUGGAUUUGAGAUAAUGUGUGUAUUUGAAUUAAUGAAGGGAAUGUGAGACAUCAUAAGUGACACCCAAAUAAAAGAAAUGGGUACAUGAUAUUUGUAAUUAUUCUACUUGUGUUUUUGUUGUAAAUACUUGUGCUUUUUGUUUUUUAAUCAAAGGAUUAAUUGCAUUUUAAUAAGGCAUUAUGAUUUUCAGAGCUUUAGUUAAUUAAAACUUGUAGUAUAUAAUUAUGAAGUGAUGCUGAGAUUUUUCUAAAGAUCACCCAUAUGUUUUGAAUGUGUACAUUUUCCCUCUUCUUGUUAUGCAGUUGCUACAUGAUUCCCUCCCCUCCCUUUCUCUUUUUAAUGAAUUAUAUUUAAAUGUUUGAGAGAUGACGGGUUCGAAUUUCGGACAGAUUUUUUAUAUAUUUUUUUGUAAGUGGCAGCUACAGUACAAAAUGUUCAUGAUCUUAGGGUUGAGUCAUAGACUAUGUUUCCUUUGGGCUUUUUGAGGAUGCAGGACUCAUUCCCUGCAUGUGCAUUGCACAAUUAAGGAAAAAAUAAAUAUUGUGAUGUGGGAAACACAAUGCUAAUUGCUGAUCUGUGAAAUGACCAGACCUGGAAGCCAUUUGGGGAAUGUUUUGCCUGCAUAGCACUGAAAUAAUGGAAAGGGUGAAUUUAGGGAUAAAGCAAAAAAAAAAAAAAAAAAAAAGACACGCCCCGCCCCCCCCCCCCGGAGGUGAACAUGCAGCUAUUGCCCUGAUCCAGUUUGCUGAAACUGUAGUGCUCCCUUGGUCAUAUGCUGCUUCCUUACUCACAAGGAAUGCUCAUUUGGGACUCACAGCUGUCCAUGGAGGUGCAGGUCAAUUCUGUCUCCAGGGCAGCUGUGUACCAGCUCCACCUGGUAUGC